GGGUUGUGAGGUUAAGCGACUAAGCGUACACGGUGGAUGCCCUGGCAGUCAGAGGCGAUGAAGGACGUGCUAAUCUGCGAUAAGCGUCGGUAAGGUGAUAUGAACCGUUAUAACCGGCGAUUUCCGAAUGGGGAAACCCAGUGUGUUUCGACACACUAUCAUUAACUGAAUCCAUAGGUUAAUGAGGCGAACCGGGGGAACUGAAACAUCUAAGUACCCCGAGGAAAAGAAAUCAACCGAGAUUCCCCCAGUAGCGGCGAGCGAACGGGGAGGAGCCCAGAGCCUGAAUCAGUGUGUGUGUUAGUGGAAGCGUCUGGAAAGGCGCGCGAUACAGGGUGACAGCCCCGNUACACAAAAAUGCACAUGCUGUGAGCUCGAUGAGUAGGGCGGGACACGUGGUAUCCUGUCUGAAUAUGGGGGGACCAUCCUCCAAGGCUAAAUACUCCUGACUGACCGAUAGUGAACCAGUACCGUGAGGGAAAGGCGAAAAGAACCCCGGCGAGGGGAGUGAAAAAGAACCUGAAACCGUGUACGUACAAGCAGUGGGAGCACAGAGCAAUCUGUGUGACUGCGUACCUUUUGUAUAAUGGGUCAGCGACUUAUAUUCUGUAGCAAGGUUAACCGAAUAGGGGAGCCGAAGGGAAACCGAGUCUUAACUGGGCGUUAAGUUGCAGGGUAUAGACCCGAAACCCGGUGAUCUAGCCAUGGGCAGGUUGAAGGUUGGGUAACACUAACUGGAGGACCGAACCGACUAAUGUUGAAAAAUUAGCGGAUGACUUGUGGCUGGGGGUGAAAGGCCAAUCAAACCGGGAGAUAGCUGGUUCUCCCCGAAAGCUAUUUAGGUAGCGCCUCGUGAAUUCAUCUCCGGGGGUAGAGCACUGUUUCGGCAAGGGGGUCAUCCCGACUUACCAACCCGAUGCAAACUGCGAAUACCGGAGAAUGUUAUCACGGGAGACACACGGCGGGUGCUAACGUCCGUCGUGAAGAGGGAAACAACCCAGACCGCCAGCUAAGGUCCCAAAGUCAUGGUUAAGUGGGAAACGAUGUGGGAAGGCCCAGACAGCCAGGAUGUUGGCUUAGAAGCAGCCAUCAUUUAAAGAAAGCGUAAUAGCUCACUGGUCGAGUCGGCCUGCGCGGAAGAUGUAACGGGGCUAAACCAUGCACCGAAGCUGCGGCAGCGACACUGUGUGUUGUUGGGUAGGGGAGCGUUCUGUAAGCCUGUGAAGGUGUGCUGUGAGGCAUGCUGGAGGUAUCAGAAGUGCGAAUGCUGACAUAAGUAACGAUAAAGCGGGUGAAAAGCCCGCUCGCCGGAAGACCAAGGGUUCCUGUCCAACGUUAAUCGGGGCAGGGUGAGUCGACCCCUAAGGCGAGGCCGAAAGGCGUAGUCGAUGGGAAACAGGUUAAUAUUCCUGUACUUGGUGUUACUGCGAAGGGGGGACGGAGAAGGCUAUGUUGGCCGGGCGACGGUUGUCCCGGUUUAAGCGUGUAGGCUGGUUUUCCAGGCAAAUCCGGAAAAUCAAGGCUGAGGCGUGAUGACGAGGCACUACGGUGCUGAAGCAACAAAUGCCCUGCUUCCAGGAAAAGCCUCUAAGCAUCAGGUAACAUCAAAUCGUACCCCAAACCGACACAGGUGGUCAGGUAGAGAAUACCAAGGCGCUUGAGAGAACUCGGGUGAAGGAACUAGGCAAAAUGGUGCCGUAACUUCGGGAGAAGGCACGCUGAUAUGUAGGUGAAGUCCCUCGCGGAUGGAGCUGAAAUCAGUCGAAGAUACCAGCUGGCUGCAACUGUUUAUUAAAAACACAGCACUGUGCAAACACGAAAGUGGACGUAUACGGUGUGACGCCUGCCCGGUGCCGGAAGGUUAAUUGAUGGGGUCAGCGCAAGCGAAGCUCUUGAUCGAAGCCCCGGUAAACGGCGGCCGUAACUAUAACGGUCCUAAGGUAGCGAAAUUCCUUGUCGGGUAAGUUCCGACCUGCACGAAUGGCGUAAUGAUGGCCAGGCUGUCUCCACCCGAGACUCAGUGAAAUUGAACUCGCUGUGAAGAUGCAGUGUACCCGCGGCAAGACGGAAAGACCCCGUGAACCUUUACUAUAGCUUGACACUGAACAUUGAGCCUUGAUGUGUAGGAUAGGUGGGAGGCUUUGAAGUGUGGACGCCAGUCUGCAUGGAGCCGACCUUGAAAUACCACCCUUUAAUGUUUGAUGUUCUAACGUGGACCCGUGAUCCGGGUUGCGGACAGUGUCUGGUGGGUAGUUUGACUGGGGCGGUCUCCUCCUAAAGAGUAACGGAGGAGCACGAAGGUUGGCUAAUCCUGGUCGGACAUCAGGAGGUUAGUGCAAUGGCAUAAGCCAGCUUGACUGCGAGCGUGACGGCGCGAGCAGGUGCGAAAGCAGGUCAUAGUGAUCCGGUGGUUCUGAAUGGAAGGGCCAUCGCUCAACGGAUAAAAGGUACUCCGGGGAUAACAGGCUGAUACCGCCCAAGAGUUCAUAUCGACGGCGGUGUUUGGCACCUCGAUGUCGGCUCAUCACAUCCUGGGGCUGAAGUAGGUCCCAAGGGUAUGGCUGUUCGCCAUUUAAAGUGGUACGCGAGCUGGGUUUAGAACGUCGUGAGACAGUUCGGUCCCUAUCUGCCGUGGGCGCUGGAGAACUGAGGGGGGCUGCUCCUAGUACGAGAGGACCGGAGUGGACGCAUCACUGGUGUUCGGGUUGUCAUGCCAAUGGCACUGCCCGGUAGCUAAAUGCGGAAGAGAUAAGUGCUGAAAGCAUCUAAGCACGAAACUUGCCCCGAGAUGAGUUCUCCCUGACCCUUUAAGGGUCCUGAAGGAACGUUGAAGACGACGACGUUGAUAGGCCGGGUGUGUAAGCGCAGCGAUGCGUUGAGCUAACCGGUACUAAUGAACCGUGAGGCUUAACCUUACAACGCCGAAGGUGUUU
rnacentral:rRNA from 1 species